rnacentral:rRNA from 1 species
GUGGGGAAUCUUGCGCAAUGGAGGCAACUCUGACGCAGCCAUGCCGCGUGCAGGAAGAAGGCGCUACGCGUUGUAAACUGCUUUUAACCGGGAAGAAACCCCAGGACGUGUCCUGGGUUGACGGUACCGGAGGAAUAAGCACCGGCUAACUUCGUGCCAGCAGCCGCGGUAAUACGAAGGGUGCAAGCGUUAUCCGGAUUCAUUGGGUUUAAAGGGUGCGGAGGCGGAGCGUUAAGUCAGUGGUGAAAUCCUGCAGCUUAACUGUAGACUUGCCAUUGAUACUGGCGCUCUUGAGUGCGCUUGAAGUGGGCGGAAUGUGCCGUGUAGCGGUGAAAUGCUUAGAUAUGGCACAGAACACCAAUUGCGAAGGCAGCUCACUAAGGCGAUACUGACGCUGAGGCACGAAAGCGUGGGGAUCGAACAGGAUUAGAAACCCUAGUAGUCC